rnacentral:rRNA from 1 species
GUGCCAGCCGCCGCGGUAAUACGUAGGGCGCAAGCGUUGUCCGGAAUUAUUGGGCGUAAAGAGCUCGUAGGCGGUUUGUCACGUCGGAUGUGAAAGCCCGGGGCUUAACUCCGGGUCUGCAUUCGAUACGGGCAGACUAGAGUGUGGUAGGGGAGAUCGGAAUUCCUGGUGUAGCGGUGAAAUGCGCAGAUAUCAGGAGGAACACCGGUGGCGAAGGCGGAUCUCUGGGCCAUUACUGACGCUGAGGAGCGAAAGCGUGGGGAGCGAACAGGAUUAGAUACCCUUGUAGUCC